AGAUCUGCUGCCUUGAGAGGAGCAGUAAUUUUGGUUGGGAAUGCAGCCUUCCAAGGUGACCCUGCAGGGUGGUAAUCAGAGGAAUAAAUAGACAUACCUGAUUAUCUUAAAUCCUUGGUUUUCCUAUUGAUGCUUUCUAUUAACUGGACCCAGUCAGAAACAAAAGACAAGAGAGUCAUUGAUGUGAUCUGCACAGUAGAUUGGCCAAAGGAGAAGAGAAAGGCAACUGAUUGAGAGGACUAAAAAACUUAUGAAGAAGCGGGUAUACUUCAGCCAGCAUGUCAAUUUCAUCCAUUUUUGUUUACGUUUUUAAAGCCAUCACAUACAUUUUGGCAGGCCUGAAUUAAUCAAGUGAACCCUUUAAAAGAAGGUGGUUCAGUUCCAGAGACAUGCUGUGUACUGCUGGCCUCAAGGAAGAGUUAUCUAGUUGCUGAGAGUGGCUUCCAGAAGACAGACAGGUAAUGAAUGGCGAUUUCAAUCCUACAACCAUAACAAACUGGAUUCUGCCAACAACUGGUGAGGUUAGAAGAGAAUUUCCAGCCUCAUUUGAGAUGACAGUAAUAGCCAACUCUGAGUUCACCUUGUGAGACUUGAGCAAAGAACCAUGCUACUCUGUCCCCAGUCUCCUGACAAAAAAAAAAAAAAGGAUUAACUCAUUCAUUUGUAUUAAAUAGGAAUAUGUGCUUGGAUAUUUACAUAUAUUUGUUAAAUCCUCAAAAUAGCUCCGUGGAUUACAGUUUAUAUACACAUUUAACAAAUGGCAUAAAAUUUCAAAAACUUUAGCAAUAUAAUAAAAUUAUACACAAAUAAAAAAUGACAUAGCUAUU